rnacentral:rRNA from 1 species
UACGUAGGGUCCGAGCGUUGUCCGGAGUUACUGGGCGUAAAGGGCGCGCAGGCGGCGGUGCUGGCCCGGCGUGAAAGCCCCCGGCUCAACUGGGGAGGGUCACGCGAUACUGAUCGACUCGAAGGCAGGAGAGGGUAGUGGAAUUCCCGGUGUAGUGGUGAAAUGCGUAGAGAUCGGGAAGAACAUCGGUGGCGAAGGCGGUCUGCUGGGCAGUAGCUGACGCUGAAGCGCGACAGCGUGGGGAGCAAACAGG